rnacentral:tRNA from 1 species
AAGAUUUUAAGUUAAACUAAACUAUUGAUCUUCAAAAUUAAAAAUAUAUUUAUUUAUUUUAUAAAUCUUA